rnacentral:lncRNA from 1 species
CUUUGUUGGAAUCAAACCUUGACGUGAACUUGUGCUUUAUUUUCUCAUAGGCCUCUUCCCUGAAGAAUGAAACUACAAUUUCUGAAAGAAGGAACACUUGGCCUUUAAAGCCAUGUUUGAAACUUGGUGGCAAUACCUGGAGAAGCCAGACAUCCAGCCAUGGACCCAUUAGAUCCUGAGUACCCAAAACUGGUGAGCAGAUCUACUAGCUACUGUCCUACAUUAAAGACUCUCCUUCAGUUCCAAGAAGCUGAACUCACCAGGUUGUGACCUCAGAAAUCCUCCUCGCUGUGAUUCACUGACAGCAGAGCAACAAGGACUGCUGCUUUCAGCCACAGGCCAUGGGUCUUGCCUGCGCUAGCCCAGUAGCCUGGGUGAGAUGCUUCGGGGUGGUGGACUUCUUACUCAUGUGCACCGGUCAGAGCACUGACCCUGAGAUCCAAGCCUGCCCUGCAGUGUUUCAUCCUCAGCUUCUACCUGUCCGGAAUUCAUGAUCCCCACUCUGGAUCUUGGGAUGUCUGAUAGCCAAGGAUCCAGGGAGACGUAGAAGACCAAGGAGAACAUGCCUUGGCAGAACUUAAUGCAAAAAGACAGUGACCUCUUCCAACCCUUGUGGAAUCAAUUGUGGUUGUGUUUAAUCAUUUUUGGUGGGUUUUGUCACAAAUUCUUUCCAUAUUUACUACACUGUUAUCUUCAUAUUUACGGAAAUGGGCUACUUUCCUUGAUGCCAUUGGACAUUCCCUUUACCUUCAGUGAUCCUCAAAUACAUACAUUUUGCAUGGAUUCUUAGAGCCUCCAGUUUGAAUCCAUACCUAGUAGAUUUGUCACUGUAAACAAAGAUCACUUGGAUGAUGUUAAUACACCCUAGAAUUGCAAUGUCUUUGUGUACUACCCACCACCAAGAUAAAUGAAUUGUCCCUAUUCCUAUUUCCACAUUCAUAUAUAAUACAAAUGCCAUGAAAAUAGUCACUUACAAAUAAAAUAGGGAAGCAUCACAUGAAAAACCUUAACCCCUUAUGAACUCAACCAGUGUUUAUUGAGGACCUACUAUGUGCCAAGCAUUGUAUUAAAUUCUGG